CACAUUAGUAACUUUAUAAGUAGAACUAUGAUUGAUUUUUACUGAGAAUUAUGGUCUUUCCCACCAUUCUGGGGUUGGUUUCAUGAGUUUUCCAGCCACUGAAGCCAACCAAUUCCUUUCUACUAACUACCCUAAUAAAUGGCAGGCGAGAAAGGCAAAAGGAGGGGUUGGGGGUGGAAGCCUUAACAUGUUCGAGCAACUUUGUGUGCUUCAGCUUAUAAAUGAAUGUAUGGUCCAACACUGUGCAUGAAUCAUCUUCUUCAAAUCCCAAAAUAUGAUGGGUUCUGCACCAGCACAGCAGCAGAUGUCAUACUAUGAUCAUGUUCAGACACGCCGUGAGGAGAAGGGAAGCUUCUAUGCUUGUUUGUAUACACUCUGUUGCUGCUUUUGCUGCUAUGAGAGUUGUGAGUGCUGCUUGGAACGCACCUGUUGUUGCUGUCCGUAGAUUGCCCAAUUUCCAAGAGACAUUUGUCAAGUUUAUGUUUCAUCAUUACUGUUGUAUGAAAUGAUGAUUUUGGAAGCCAAUAAGGAAUAGUCUUCAUGUACCAUGUGCUUCAAUUAAUUUUAAUUUUUGUGAUAUUGUUCCAAGAACAAAUGAAUUCGUUAUGCCUGUUAAAUAAAUCAA